rnacentral:miRNA from 1 species
UGGAACUAGUAUGGAGCAGGCUGA